AAAGAUAUAACUUAAAGUUAAGUGGUUCUUUUACAUUGAAUAAAAUUCUUGUGCGAUUCAGGGUAUCUUUA
rnacentral:tRNA from 1 species